rnacentral:rRNA from 1 species
UACCGAGGGUGCGAGCGUUGUCCGGAAUUACUGGGCGUAAAGGGCGCGUAGGCGGCCUUCUAAGUCGAACGUGAAAUCCCCGGGCUCAACCCGGGAACUGCGUCCGAUACUGGAAGGCUUGAAUCCGGGAGAGGGAUGCGGAAUUCCAGGUGUAGCGGUGAAAUGCGUAGAUAUCUGGAGGAACACCGGUGGCGAAGGCGGCAUCCUGGACCGGCAUUGACGCUGAGGCGCGAAAGCCAGGGGAGCAAACGGG